GCGCUUCCUAAGAAGGGGUGGAGCCCAGCCCGAUUCUGGAAAGGCCCCGUGGCUCCUGGCGUCCUCGGAAGGGGCCGCCUCCUUCCCUGAGCUGCUCUCCUCCGCCCGCAGCCCUAUUUGCUCAUGGCCACCGCGUCGUUGGCGCGCUGCUGCAGCACAGGGGUCCUCGCGGCAAAGGCUCCAGCCGGCGAAGCCCUGAAGCACGUGGGCAGGCCCCUGAGCGCCUCCAAGCCCGGAGGCCGGGCAGCUCUCGAGUGCUCAAGGGAGGAGGCGGAGCGCACGCGCGCAGUGUUAACGGCGACGGAGCAGAAGAUCGUUGAGCUGCACGAGGAGGCAUGCGCAGCUGGACAGAAGAAUUAUGUGGAUCCAGUUACUGGCUACCUUGUAUUCACCAAAGUUGCCCAUUUGCAGAGGGGAAACUGCUGUGGCUCCUCCUGCAGACACGCCCAACCCAGAAAUAUCAUGCAAGGAAUGAAAGUGGUGGCCUGAAAGUACCCUAUGGGAAUAUCAGUGUCCAUAUGGUCAAAUGAAUGUUAAAGAUCCGUCCAAAAAGAAGCAGUUCAAUUCCUUUUUCUAUGCUUGACGAUCGAAGCCUUUUGCAUCGUACCAUGAAGAAAGAAAAGAUCAGCAAUCACCUUCACUCUUCCCCCCCUUUUUCUGCCCCCUAUUGCUUCCCCAUUUUGCAUAUUGGCGUUCUUUUGACCUCUGCUGUUCCGUAUCCUGAAUAUUUUCCAAUUGUAAUUGAAAAAAAUCCAUGUGUGUGCCAGUGAUGCUGAGCCAUUGACAAGGCUUUCCCUUUCUCUGCCAUUAUAAACUGUAAAGAGAUGUUUGCUGUGCUUUUCAAAGUCAUCAGAGGAAAAGGGGGGGACCAGCAAGUCUAGGAAUAGCUUUGUUUUACUUUAAUGAUGCAGAGGUAUAGUUUGGGAACGCCAUCAAGGGCUUGUUCCUUUGAGUGCUAAAAAUGGAGAGUGAUUUCAAGAGACAGAUUCUCUUUUAUCACAAGUUCGCAAGAAUAUUCCAGUCUGAUCCACAGUGCAGUCAUUGGAUUUAAAACUUUGACUCUAAAAUUUUUGGAUCUGGAUAUAUUUGCAGCUUGAUCCUGGGCAUAUUUACUUGGAAGUAAGUACCACUAAAUUCACUGGGGCUUAAUCUCAAGCAACCAUGGAGAAGGCUUUAAGACAGGUUCACAUCUACAUAAGUAGCAACAAGCUGUGACUGUAUUAAAAGAUGCUAGAACGGAGGUGAUGUGAGAACGUUUUAUCUGUGAUAAUACAGCUAUGGUGCUUAUUCACAUAAGUAAAUCCUUUCUAGAUGUGGCAGUGAGAAUGUUUUAUCUGUGAUAAUAUAGCUGUGGUGUUCCAUCCACAUAAGUAAAUCCUCUCUAGAUGUGGCUGCCAUCAAGAGAGGAACAUACAUUUGACAAUUGACAGCUGAAGGUGAGAGUGCCAUUUUGUUUAAGUGACAUAAGGUGAUAUGAAAGUUCUGUGGUGCUGAAUCUGUGAUACCCCAUUCAUGACGGCAAGGUACCACGUGAGACUCAAGUAAUCAAGUAAUAAACAUGCACAUGUGAACCA